GACAGGGGGUGCAAACGUUGUUCGGAAUUACUGGGCGUAAAGCGCGUGUAGGCGGCAGGGCAUGUCGGAUGUGAAAUCCCGUGGCUCAACCACGGAAGUGCACCCGAAACUGCCCAGCUUGAGUCUCGGAGAGGAAGGCGGAAUGCUUGGUGUAGAGGUGAAAUUCGUAGAUAUCAAGCGGAACACCGGUGGCGAAGGCGGCCUUCUGGACGAUGACUGACGCUGAGACGCGAAAGCGUGGGGAGCAAACAGG
rnacentral:rRNA from 1 species